rnacentral:rRNA from 1 species
AGGUAGUAACAACCAUUUGAGUCUGGGAUUUCUGAAUGGGGAAACCCACUUACAUAAGUAAGUAUCCUUACCUGAAUACAUAGGGUAAGGAGGCGAACCGGGGGAACUGAAACAUCUAAGUACCCCGAGGAAAAGAAAUCAACCGAGAUUCCGAAAGUAGCGGCGAGCGAAAUUGGACUAGCCCUUAAGCUUUACACGCGUUAGACGAACGGUCUGGAAAGUCCGACGAUACAGGGUGAUAGUCCCGUAGUUGACGACGUGUGUUCAGUGAAAUCGAGUAGGGCGGGACACGUGAUAUCCUGUCUGAAUAUGGGGGGACCAUCCUCCAAGGCUAAAUACUACUGACUGACCGAUAGUGAACCAGUACCGUGAGGGAAAGGCGAAAAGAACCCCUGUGAGGGGAGUGAAAUAGAACCUGAAACCGUGUACGUACAAGCAGUAGGAGCAGGCUUUGUCCUGUGACUGCGUACCUUUUGUAUAAUGGGUCAGCGACUUAUAUUCAGUGGCAAGGUUAACCAUCUAGGGGAGCCGUAGGGAAACCGAGUCUUAACUGGGCGUUCAGUCUCUGGAUAUAGACCCGAAACCAGGUGAUCUAGCCAUGGGCAGGUUGAAGGUUGAGUAACAUCAACUGGAGGACCGAACCGACUAAUGUUGAAAAAUUAGCGGAUGACUUGUGGCUAGGGGUGAAAGGCCAAUCAAACCUGGAGAUAGCUGGUUCUCCCCGAAAGCUAUUUAGGUAGCGCCUCGGACGAAUACUACUGGGGGUAGAGCACUGUUAAGGCUAGGGGGUCAUCCCGACUUACCAACCCUUUGCAAACUCCGAAUACCAGUAAGUACUAUCCGGGAGACACACGGCGGG